GCUUAAUUCUAAUAAAAACUAAAAUUUUAGUAAAAAAUUCGGUUGGGGCGACCAGGGAAUAUAAAUCAUCCCUUAAUAAAAGAUAACUUACUCGUUAAAAUGACCCUUAAACAAGAUCAAAAAAACAAGC
rnacentral:rRNA from 1 species